rnacentral:rRNA from 1 species
AACGAACGCUGGCGGCAUGCCUAACACAUGCAAGUCGAACGAGACCUUCGGGUCUAGUGGCGCACGGGUGCGUAACGCGGGGGAACCUGCCCUUAGGUUCGGAAUAACUCCCCGAAAGGGGUGCUAAUACCGGAUAAUGUCUUCGAACCGAAGAUUUAACGCCCUUGGUUGGGCCGGAGUUGGUUUGAAUAGCUGGUAGGGUAAAAGCCUACCAAGGCGACGAUCCAUAGCUGGUCAGUGAGGAUGAUCAGCCACACUGGGACUGAGACACGGCCCAGACUCCUACGGGAUGGAGCAGUGGGGAAUAGUGGAAAAUGGGCUAAAGCCUGAUCCAGCAAUGCCGCGUGAGUGAUGAAGUCCUUAGGGUUGUAAAGCGCUAUUACCCGGGAUGAUAAUGACAGUACCGGGAGAAUAAGCCCCGGCUAACUCCGUG